UACGGAGGGGGCUAGCGUUGUUCGGAAUUACUGGGCGUAAAGCGCGUGUAGGUGGUGGGACAAGUCUGCUGUGAAAGCGCCUGGCUUAACCGGGCGAGGUCGGCGGAAACUGUCCGACUAGAGGACGGUAGAGGGGGGUGGAAUUCCCGGUGUAGUGGUGAAAUGCGUAGAGAUCGGGAGGAACACCUGUGGCGAAGGCGGCCCCCUGGGCCGGCCCUGACACUGAGACGCGAAGGCGUGGGGAGCGAACGGG
rnacentral:rRNA from 1 species